UGGGGAAUUUUGGACAAUGGGGGAAACCCUGAUCCAGCCAUCCCGCGUGCGCGAUGAAGGCCUUCGGGUUGUAAAGCACUUUUGGCAGGAAAGAAACGUCAUGGGUUAAUACCCCGUGAAACUGACGGUACCUGCAGAAUAAGCACCGGCUAACUACGUGCCAGCAGCCGCGGUAAUACGUAGGGUGCAAGCGUUAAUCGGAAUUACCUGGCGUAAAGCGUGCGCAGGCGGUUCGGAAAGAAAGAUGUGAAAUCCCAGAGCUCAACUUUGGAACUGCAUUUUUAACUACCGGUCUAGAGUGUUUCAGGGGGAGGUGGAAGUCCGCGUGUAGCAGUGAAAUGCGUAGAUAUGCGGAGGAACACCGAUGGCGAAGGCAGCCUCCUGGGAUAACACUGCCGCUCAUGCACGAAAGCGUGGGGAGCAAACAGG
rnacentral:rRNA from 1 species